AUUAAACGCUGGCGGCAUGCCUUACACAUGCAAGUCGAACGGCAGCACGGGGGCAACCCUGGUGGCGAGUGGCGGACGGGUGAGUAAAGCAUCGGAACGUAUCCUGGAGUGGGGGAUAACGUAGCAAAAGUUACGCUAAUACCGCAUAUUCUGUGAGCAGGAAAGCAGGGGAUCGCAAGACCUUGCGCUCUGGGAGCGGCCGAUGUCGGAUUAGCUAGUUGGUGGGGUAAAGGCCUACCAAGGCGACGAUCCGUAGCGGGUCUGAGAGGAUGAUCCGCCACACUGGGACUGAGACACGGCCCAGACUCCUACGGGAGGC
rnacentral:rRNA from 1 species